rnacentral:rRNA from 1 species
AAUGAACGUUGGCGGCAUGGAUUAGGCAUGCAAGUCGAGCGAGAAGUGUAGCAAUACACGGAAAGCGGCGGAAGGGAGAGUAAUACGUGGGAAUCUGCCCUUAGACCUGGGAUAGCAGCGGGAAACUGCUGGUAAUACCAGAUAACGUCUAUGGACCAAAGGUGUGAUUCCGUCUAGGGAUGAGCCCACUUCCUAUUAGCUAGGUGGUAGGGUAAUGGCCUACCAAGGCGAUGAUGGGUAGCGGGUGUGAGAGCAUGACCCGCCUCACUGGGACUGAGACACUGCCCAGACACCUACGGGUGGCUGCAGUCGAGAAUCUUCGGCAAUGGGCGCAAGCCUGACCGAGCGAUGCCGCGUGCGGGAUGAAGGCCUUCGGGUUGUAAACCGCUGUCGAGGGGGAGCAACUUCCAUAGAGUUAUCUUUAUGGAUUGAGUGAUUCCUGGAGGAAGGACGGGCUAAGUUCGUGCCAGCCGCCGCCGUAAUAC